rnacentral:misc_RNA from 1 species
AAGUCGUAACAAGGUUUCCGUAGGUGAACCUGCGGAAGGAUCAUUAAUUGAUCAAAAUUGGAGGUUUUUUUUUCAGCUCCGGCCGAAAAUACCGCCUUUUUCCUUUGUGAACUGUCUUGUACUGUUGUUGUAUAUUAUAGUGUGUUUUCCUUGUGGAAAAUAAAAAUCUAAAGACAACUUUCAGCAAUGGAUCUCUUGGCUCUU